GAUGAACGCUAGCGACAGGCUUAACACAUGCAAGUCGAGGGGCAGCAUAGAAGUAGCAAUACUUUGGUGGCGACCGGCGCACGGGUGAGUAACGCGUAUGCAACCUACCUAUCAGAGGGGAAUAACCCGGCGAAAGUCGGACUAAUACCGCAUAAAACAGGGGCACCGCAUGGUGAUAUUUGUUAAAGAAAUUCGCUGAUAGAUGGGCAUGCGUUCCAUUAGGUAGUUGGUGAGGGAACGGCUCACCAAGCCGACGAUGGAUAGGGGAACUGAGAGGUUGGUCCCCCACACUGGUACUGAGACACGGACCAGACUCCUACGGGAGGCAGCAGUGAGGAAUAUUGGUCAAUGGGCGAGAGCCUGAACCAGCCGAGUCGCGUGAAGGACGAAGGUAUUAUGUAUUGUAAACUUCUUUUGCAGGGGAAUAAAGUGAGGCUUGCGAGCCUUUUUGCAAGUACCCUGCGAAUAAGGAUCGGCUAACUCCGUGCCAGCAGCCGCAGUAAGAC
rnacentral:rRNA from 1 species